rnacentral:piRNA from 1 species
GAAAGAGAAGCGACUGAAAGAAAGAACUG